rnacentral:rRNA from 1 species
UACGAAGGGUGCUAGCGUUGUUCGGAAUCACUGGGCGUAAAGCGUGCGUAGGCGGCUUUGCAAGUCAGAGGUGAAAGCCUGGAGCUUAACUCCAGAAUUGCCUUUGAAACUGCAUCGCUAGAGUGUCGGAGGGGAUAGCGGAAUUUCUAAUGUAGCGGUGAAAUGCGUAGAUAUUAGAAGGAACACCGGUGGCGAAGGCGGCUAUCUGGACGACAACUGACGCUGAGGCACGAAAGCGUGGGGAUCAAACAGG